CUCGAACGACUCCCGGCAACGGAUAUCUCGGCUCUUGCAUCGAUGAAGAACGUAGCGAAAUGCGAUACUUGGUGUGAAUUGCAGAAUCCCGUGAACCAUCGAGUCUUUGAACGCAAGUUGCGCCCGAGGCCACUAGGCCGAGGGCACGCCUGCCUGGGCGUCAC
rnacentral:rRNA from 1 species